GGAUCCAUCUUACCUGACAGUGAUGGACUGUACAGCUGUUGCUCUAACACUGUCUGGUAACGAUGUUUCC
rfam:Oryzias latipes DNA, chromosome7, strain: Hd-rR.